UACGUAGGGUGCAAGCGUUAAUCGGAAUUACUGGGCGCAAAGCGUGCGUAGGCGGUGUCUUAAGUUUAUUGUGAAAUCUCCCGGCUUAACCGGGAGGGUGCGGCGAAUACUGAGAUGCUGGAGUGCCGGAGAGGUAAGCGGAAUUCCUGGUGUAGCGGUGAAAUGCGUAGAUAUCAGGAGGAACACCUGCGGUGUAGACGACUUACUGGACGGUAACUGACGCUGAGGCACGAAAGCGUGGGUAGCAAACAGG
rnacentral:rRNA from 1 species